rnacentral:rRNA from 1 species
GUCUACGACCAUUCCACGUUGAAUAUACCAGGUCUCGUUCGAUCCCUGAAGUAAAGCAGCGUCGGGCCGAGUCAGUACCUGGGAGGGAGACCACUUGGGAACAUUCGGUGUCGCAGACC